AAGCUAUAUGUGAAAUGCACUAGGUCCCAAAUAUUUAAAGCUAGGGAUGUUGCUGGGUUUCUACACAGAGACGGUUUUGAAUAAAAAAACCAAAAUCAACUCAACAGUAGUUCAGUAGAUACUGCUUGUUAUCUAUGGACAUUCUAUAUUUUGUUUUUCUUUUAAACACCUCAUCCAAGAUAGCUAUAUAAUAGCCUUAUGAAUGCUGUUUCUCUGAUCAGAAGAUGGAGUAGACCCUAAAACAAGACAGGUUUUUAGUGAUCUACUCCUUCUCUCCAUCAAAGCCAUGUUAGCAAACAACUUCAAACACAAAUGAGGAACAUUUAUUUCCCUAUAGUGAAUUGAAGAAAUACAAUAAAAAUAAAUCAAAAGUCAGAAGUUUAAGAGAACAUCACUGCUAAAGAUUAUUCUCAAAUUUUUGAAUGGAAUCCUGAUACGAUUGUCCCAAAAAAUCCUUCUUCACACAACUAUAGGACUUCCUAAUAUAGGAAAAUAUUGCCAGCCAGAACUGAAAAUGGAAAUGCCAAAAUACUGUUUUUGAACUACAGCUGUCCUGAAUGAAACAAGGAAGCACUACAAAGUCACAGGACAGACUGUUUUUAGGAAAUUGCCAUCUCAUUUCCCAGCUGGAGAAGUUUGGAUGAGAUCAGGUAAACUGUGGAAACUGCUAAACUUCUGGAUGUAUAGCUGAACUGAACCACCAAUCUUUUGUGACUUAUCCAUUACUGAAGUACACAUAUUCUGGAGAUGUCUAUAAAUAAUAUAGUUUUACUUUGAGAAAGAAGGAAGGAAACACAACACACUACACAAAUCAGAGGUUUGCCUGCAUUAUCCCUCAAAUUAGAACUGUACUGUGCAUUCAAUUGGACUGAUCACAGUGAUUUAAAUAAGGGGUACAUCUCUGAAGUCACUGGAGAUAAACUGAUUUAUCUGAGAGAAGAUUUCUGCCAUAUCCGUUCAUGACAUGUAAAAGGAAACUGCAGACAUACACGGCCUUAUUCAUCCAGGAUAUUAACAUCCAUUGCUUCAAUGAUAUUUCAUUAGGAAUAAAGUUGAUCAACUAA